rnacentral:rRNA from 1 species
UACGUAGGGGGCAAGCGUUGUCCGGAAUUAUUGGGCGUAAAGAGCGCGUAGGCGGUCCGGUAAGUCAGCUGUGAAAGUCAAGGGCUCAACCCUUGAAAGCCGGUUGAUACUGUCGGGCUAGAGUCCGGAAGGGGCGAGUGGAAUUCCCGGUGUAGCGGUGAAAUGCGCAGAUAUCGGGAGGAACACCAAUGGCGAAGGCAGCUCGCUGGGACGGUACUGACGCUGAGGCGCGAAAGCGUGGGGAGCAAACAGG